ACUUUUGACGGUGGAUCUCUUGGCUCACGCAUCGAUGAAGAACGCAGCCAGCUGCGAUAAGUAGUGUGAAUUGCAGAAUUCAGUGAAUCAUCGAAUCUUUGAACGCAAAUGGCGCUCUUGGGUUCUCCCAGGAGCAUGUCUGUCUGAGUGUCGGAUA
rnacentral:rRNA from 1 species